rnacentral:rRNA from 1 species
GACGAACGCUGGCGGCGUGCUUAACACAUGCAAGUCGAACGAAGAGCGACGGAAGCUUGCUUCUAUCAAUCUUAGUGGCGAACGGGUGAGUAACGCGUAAUCAACCUGCCCUUCAGAGGGGGACAACAGUUGGAAACGACUGCUAAUACCGCAUACGAUCUAACCUCGGCAUCGAGGAUAGAUGAAAGGUGGCCCCUACAUGUAAGCUAUCACUGAAGGAGGGGAUUGCGUCUGAUUAGCUAGUUGGAGGGGUAACGGCCCACCAAGGCGAUGAUCAGUAGCCGGUCUGAGAGGAUGAACGGCCACAUUGGGACUGAGACACGGCCCAGACUCCUACGGGAGGCAGCAGUGGGGAAUCUUCCGCAAGAGACGAAAGUCUGACGGAGCAACGCCGCGGGAGUGAUGACGGCCUUCGGGUUGGAAAGCUCUGUUAAUCGGGACGAAAGGCCUUCUUGCGAAUAGUGAGAAGGAUUGACGGUACCGGAAUAGAAAGCCACGGCUAACUACGUG